GAGGAAUUCCGUCGGAAUCCGGGAGGACCAUCUCCCAAGGCUAAAUACUCCCUAGUGACCGAUAGUGAACCAGUACCGUGAGGGAAAGGUGAAAAGCACCCCGGAAGGGGAGUGAAAUAGAACCUGAAACCGUGUGCCUACAACAAGUCAAAGCCCGUUAAUGGGUGAUGGCGUGCCUUUUGUAGAAUGAACCGGCGAGUUACGAUUGCAUGCGAGGUUAAGUUGAAGAGACGGAGCCGCAGCGAAAGCGAGUCUGAAUAGGGCGUUUGAGUAUGUAGUCGUAGACCCGAAACCAUGUGAUCUACCCAUGUCCAGGUUGAAGGUGCGGUAAAACGCACUGGAGGACCGAACCCACGUACGUUGAAAAGUGCGGGGAUGAGGUGUGGGUAGCGGAGAAAUUCCAAACGAACUUGGAGAUAGCUGGUUCUCUCCGAAAUAGCUUUAGGGCUAGCCUCGGAAUUGAGAAUGAUGGAGGUAGAGCACUGUUUGGACUAGGGGCCCAUCUCGGGUUACCGAAUUCAGAUAAACUCCGAAUGCCAUUCAUUCAUAUCCGGGAGUCAGACUGUGAGUGAUAAGAUCCAUAGUCGAAAGGGAAACAGCCCAGACCACCAGCUAAGGUCCCAAAAUAUAUGUUAAGUGGAAAAGGAUGUGGGGUUGCACAGACAACUAGGAUGUUGGCUUAGAAGCAGCCACCAUUUAAAGAGUGCGUAAUAGCUCACUAGUCGAGUGACCCUGCGCCGAAAAUGUACCGGGGCUAAACAUAUUACCGAAGCUGUGGAGUACACCUUUAGGUGUAUUGGUAGGAGAGCGUUCUAAGGGCGUUGAAGGCAGAUCGUGAGGACUGCUGGAGCGCUUAGAAGUGAGAAUGCCGGUAUGAGUAGCGAAAGACAGGUGAGAAUCCUGUCCACCGAAUGACUAAGGUUUCCUGGGGAAGGCUCGUCCGCCCAGGGUUAGUCGGGACCUAAGCCGAGGCCGACAGGCGUAGGCGAUGGACAACAGGUUGAUAUUCCUGUACUCGUUGUUUUUGUUUGAGCAAUGGAGGGACGCAGGAGGCUAAGGAAUGCAGACGAUUGGAAAUGUCUGUCUAAGCAGUAAGUCU
rnacentral:rRNA from 1 species